AAACUUUCAACAACGGAUCUCUUGGUUCCGGCAUCGAUGAAGAACGCAGCGAAAUGCGAUAAGUAAUGUGAAUUGCAGAAUUCCGUGAAUCAUCGAAUCUUUGAACGCACAUUGCGCCCCCUGGCAUUCCGGGGGGCAUGCCUGUUCGAGC
rnacentral:rRNA from 2 species